AGGACUUGACCUACAUCUGUUGAGAAUAAGGAUGGACAAAGCACACUGAGAUAAAACAGUGGAGGAUUCCAUCCCCUUUAAGGUGCAUUCAGAUCAGAAGCUGACUACUCUCAAAGCUGCUGAGCAAUGUACUGAAGGACUGAGGACAUUCAUAUCGUUUAUAAACUGGAGGGGAACAAAAGCAACAAAAAGAAGAAAUAACAACCAAAAACUGCCUUGCAAGAUGUCAUCUUUCCUCCGGACUCAGAGUUUGACACGUUGGUUCUGCUUAAGUUGAAGUUUCUGUUUUAAGCAAAUUCAAGUACACAUUCCAACUAUAUUCUCAAAUCCUUUGACAGCCAAUUGUGUGUACUAAGUAUUACUAGAAACGAUGGAUAAUUACAAACACUGGAAUGUUGCAAGAAUUUUUACUUCAAUUCCUAGGUGUCUUUCCCAGCAAGAUUCUGCUUCUCAGCAGGAAGAUUUGGGAGUACGUGGUCAGAAAUCAGGAACUGACAAUCUGUAAGAGACUUCCACUGGAUUAAUGUCAUGAAUCUGCUGCUACAGUGAAGAAUCCUGGGAGUAAUUAUAUAUA